UCUAGUUGAUCCUGCUAGAGGUUGCGGCUAUUCGGAUUCUGUUCAGCCAUGCAAGUCUUUUCGUAAGAAAGGCAAACUGCUCAGUAACGCGUAGUCAACCCACCCUAAGAUGCAGAAUAACUUCGGGAAACUGAGGCUAAUACUGCAUAGAUGUAAGUUGUUGGAAUACACUUUCAUUGAAACGCAAGGUCUUAGGACGGGACUGCGACUGAUUAGGUAGUUGUUGAGGUAAUUACUCAACAAGCCGAUGAUCAGUAAGGGCUCUUAACGGAGAUGCCCUGAGAGGGAAUCUGAGACACUAUUCCCAGCUCUAUGGAGUGCAGCAGGCGAGGAAAUUUUUCAAUGCUCGAAAGAGUGAAAGAGGAAUCCGAAGUGCUGGUUUUUUUAAAUCAGCUUUUCUACACUUUAAAUUGGUGUAGGAAUAAGGACUGGGCAAGACCGGUGCCAGCCGCCGCGGUAAUCCCGGCAGUCCGAGUCGCAACCACAUUUAUUAGGUCUAAAACAUCCGUAGCCUGUCUAUCAAGUUCUUUGUGAAAUGUUAUCGCUCAACGAUAACGCGUGCAUAGAAUACUGGUAGGCUAGAGAUCGGAAGACGUAAAGAGUACAAUUGAGGUAGCGGUUAAAUGUUUUAAUCUCAGUUGGACUAACAAUGGCGAAGGCACUUUACGAGGACGUUUCUGACGGUGAGGGAUGAAGGCCAGGGGCGCGAAAGGGAUUAGAUACCCCUGUAGUCCUGGCAGUAAACUCUGAUUACUAAACAUUGCAUCCUCCUCGAGAGGUUGCAGUGCUGAAGCGAAGGCGGAAGUAAUCUACCUGGGGAGUAUAGCCGCAAGGCCGAAACUUAAAGGAAUUGGCGGGGGGGCACUACAAGGGGUGACGCGUGCGGUUCAAUUGGAUUAUACACCGAGAACCUCACCAGGAGCGACAGCAGGAUGAAGGUCAGUCUGAAGGGCUUACCUGACACGCUGAGAGGAGUUGCAUGGCCGUCGUCAGCUUGUGCCGUGAGGUGCCCUGUUAAAUCAGGUAACAAGCGAGACCUGCAUGUGCAGUUGCUAUUCGAAGAGAGAGCACACUGCACAGACCGCUCUCGUAAGGGAGAGGAAGGUGCAGUCAACGAUAGGUCAGUAUGGCCCGAGUCCCCUGGGCUACACGCGCGCGGCAAUGCUACGCACAAUGAGACGCCACUCCGAAAGGAGAAGCAAAUCCCUUAAAACGUAGCUUAGUCCAGAUUGAAGUUUGCAACCUAACUUCAUGACGCUGGAAUCCCUAGUAAUCGUUUUUUAUUAAAGAACGGUGAAUAAGUCCCCGCUCCUUGCACACACUGCCCAUCAAACCAUCCGAGUUAUGUUUGGACGAGGCCCGCAAGGAACGAGUCUAGAUAUAGCAAGGAAGGUUAAGUUGUCACAAGGUA
rnacentral:rRNA from 1 species